GGGAUGUAGCUUAGUAGGUAGACUGCUUGCCUAGCAUGCAUGAGGGCCUGGGUUCAAUAACCAGUCCCA
rnacentral:tRNA from 1 species